rnacentral:lncRNA from 1 species
CCUCAGUACGUAUUAUAUAUUGGGUCUUUUUCCCUACCACUCUAAUACAAUUAUUUGAUUGUUUGCAGGUCCCCUUGCCUCAGUACGUAUUAUAUAUUGGGUCCUUUGCCCUUGUCUCAACGAUUCAAGAAAUAAUUCUACAUGAAGGAUCAAGAAACGAUGAUUUGUCAUUCAUUGGUAUCUUCGUAUUUAUUAUUAUCAAAUUUAGUUCUGUGGGAUCACAAAGUCUUCAUAUUUACCAUGUUUUUGUUCUUUCCUUUGGUCUGAUAUAAUGCAGGGGAAAAUAUGAAUAAAGACUAAAAGGUUGUUAUGCUAAGACGAUUCUGGCUGAUAGUUCAAGAAAGACUAAAAGGUUGUUAUGCUAAGACGAUUUUGUGUUACUAAGGUGUUAAAUUAAUCGUAGUUUGUGUUUUGUGUGGAGACAUGUUUCGAUCUACGUAUAUAGUAUAUCCAUUUGUUUUACCAUAUUUUUUUGACUAAUGAAUGUUUUAUCCAUGCAUUUAAUACAAAUUGUAACGAACUGUGAUAUCUAUGGCACUUUACUUUUUGUCUGUCACUUGAUACCAGUGUUUCAUGAUUCAAUAUUUGUGCUUCAUGAAUUGUUUUGUCAUUUGAACAUGUAAUUGAAAAAAUGUUAGGUUAUCAUUAUUGCUAUUGUUGAUGUUAUUUUUACCAUGUGUUCCUCCACGAACGCGCGGGGUGUCAUCUAGUUUUCAUAAAGGAAAUGUGCCAUUCUUUUUUAUCAGCGAAUGGAGAACUAAAAGCCUUAUUUAUUUUUAUUACAAGAAUCAACCUCAGCAGGCUGUUGUGUAGAGUCUUUGUCAGUGGAAGAUGCAGGAACAAAUGGGAAUUGGUUGUAGAUUUCUUCUAUCCUGCUUCAUCCUGCAAAAAAAUAGAACAACAAAUAAGAUAAUUGUUAGAUUAGAGAAUGUUUUUUUCAUGGUAGGAUGUUCUUCAAGCUGCUUAUUGGUACUCCCUCCGGUGUGUUAGGCCUUUUAUGAAACGCAGCACGACCAAGGUGGUUUUUCAUUGGCUAAGUGAUCUGCCCAUUUCCUUCAAUCAGCAUUUAGUUGGUAUUAAUUAUGGCAAGUGAAGAGACGUCCAGGCCCACAGCAUGCAUGCAUGCGCUUAGAUAUGACGCUAAUUCCUCCUCCCUCCU